rnacentral:rRNA from 1 species
UACGUAGGGUGCAAGCGUUGUCCGGAAUUAUUGGGUGUAAAGAGCUCGUAGGCGGUCUGUCGCGUCGGCUGUGAAAACUCGGGGCUCAACUCCGAGCUUGCAGUCGAUACGGGCAGGCUAGAGUUCGGCAGGGGAGACUGGAAUUCCUGGUGUAGCGGUGAAAUGCGCAGAUAUCAGGAGGAACACCGGUGGCGAAGGCGGGUCUCUGGGCCGAUACUGACGCUGAGGAGCGAAAGCGUGGGGAGCGAACAGG